CAUGAAGCUGGAAUCGCUAGUAAUCGCAGGUCAGCAUACUGCGGUGAAUACGUUCCCGGGUCUUGUACACACCGCCCCGUCACACCAUGGGAGCCGGAAAUGCCCGAAGCCAGUGACCCAACCUUAGGGAGGGAGCUGUCGAAGGUGGAGCCGGUAACUGGGGUGAAGUCGUAACAAGGUAUC
rnacentral:rRNA from 1 species